rnacentral:rRNA from 1 species
UGGGGAAUAUUGCACAAUGGGGGAAACCCUGAUGCAGCGACGCCGCGUGAGUGAAGAAGUAUUUCGGUAUGUAAAGCUCUAUCAGCAGGGAAGAAAAUGACGGUACCUGACCAAGAAGCCCCGGCUAACUACGUGCCAGCAGCCGCGGUAAUACGUAGGGGGCAAGCGUUAUCCGGAUUUACUGGGUGUAAAGGGAGCGUAGACGGCUGUGCAAGUCAGAAGUGAAAGCCCGGGGCUCAACCCCGGGACUGCUUUUGAAACUGCGGAGCUGGAGUGCAGGAGAGGUAAGCGGAAUUCCUGGUG